rnacentral:rRNA from 1 species
GACGAACGCUGGCGGCGUGCUUAACACAUGCAAGUCGAGCGGAAAGGCCACUUCGGUGGUACUCGAGCGGCGAACGGGUGAGUAACACGUGAGUAACCUGCCCCUCACUUUGGGAUAGCCACCGGAAACGGUGAUUAAUACCGGAUAUGACCAUAUGUCGCAUGGCGUGUGGUGGAAAGUUUUUCGGUGAGGGAUGUGCUCGCGGCCUAUCAGCUUGAUGGUGAGGUAAUGGCUCACCAUGGCUUCGACGGGUAGCCGGCCUGAGAGGGUGACCGGUCACACUGGGACUGAGACACGGCCCAGACUCCUACGGGAGGCAGCAGUGGGGAAUAUUGGACAAUGGGCGGAAGCCUGAUCCAGCAACGCCGCGUGAGGGAUGACGGCCUUCGGGUUGUAAACCUCUUUCAGUACCGACGAAGCGCAAGUGACGGUAGGUACAGAAGAAGCACCGGCCAACUACGUG